AUGUUUUGUCUUUUCUUUUUCUAGCAUCUGGGGAUGGAGAAUCACUGGAUGAAGAUUCUGAAUUCACAUUAGCCUCUGAUUUUGAAAUUGGACACUUUUUCCGUGAGCGGAUAGUCCCGCGGGCUGUGCUGUACUUCACUGGGGAGGCCAUAGAAGAUGAUGACAAUUUUGAAGAAGGUGAAGAAGGAGAAGAGGAGGAAUUAGAAGGUGACGAGGAGGGAGAAGACGAGGAUGAUGCGGAAAUUAACCCCAAGAAGGAACCCAGCCAGCCGGCGGAAUGCAAGCAGCAGUAGGAAGCGGAGGCGGGUGCCUGGCAGACCGGCUGUCGGGACUCCAGGCCUGUGGGCGGGGCCUCGGUCCUUGCCGCAGCACAAUCCCGUGGACAGAGCUUACUCCAUCUAACUCGUUUUCAAGUGCAUGAUUUUCACUUUCACUUUUCCUUUUUCCUUAUUAUUUUGCUUAACUUGUACAGUGGCAACUGAAAUGCAUUUCAGAAAUAGGAGGUUUCGUCCAGCACCCUCUGCAGCCUUGGUGCCUGUAGCUCUGGACUUCCCUGGGCCUUUCCCUGUG
rnacentral:sRNA from 1 species